UACAACGCACUACCUGUUCAUAGUAGUCGUUGCUGUCAACAGCACACUGCUCACCAUCAACGCAGGGGACUACAUCUUCUACACCGCCUGGGCGUGGACGUCCUUAGCUGGGUUCUCGGUGUCCCAGCCCCCGCUAAUUGCGUUCGACGAGCUUUACUAAUCGGUAUGCCCACGUUUUCAAUCAAUCGCAACCCAUUUACACGCAACCUUGACCGACUGACCAAUCGUGCUAAAAGUGCCAAGGUUUAUCACUGGGUACCCCCACGCAUCUGUUGUGCGACAAGGCGCGACAAGCACGCUGCCAUACUUAUGGACGGUACGCUGGUUGGCCUACCCUUACCGCUGUUCGAAAUGGUCGAACGGUUGCUUGUACGGGACCCGCUCGAGGUGGCCUUCAAGUAUCCGAGACCGACUCCACCCGCGUACCUGACGCCUAUAGAGCCUCAGGUAGGUAAGUUCUACAACUCGCCUGUCGCACUGGGUUCAGGUGCCGGUGCAGUGCUAACGGUACCCAUCGCUGCGUUGGGUGCAAAAAUAAACACGUGG
rnacentral:rRNA from 1 species